UGUUGGUUCUACCGCAACGCUACUCUGUUUACCAGGUCAGGUCCGGAAGGAAGCAGCCAAGGCAGAUGACGCGUGUGCCGGGAUGUAGCUGGCAGGG
rnacentral:SRP_RNA from 1 species